UACAGCCAUAUCACGUUUAAACACCAGUUCUCAUACGAUCACCGAAGUUAAGCAACAUAGAGACUGGUCAGUACCUAAAUGAGUGACAGCAUGGGGGUGCCAGGUGCU